rnacentral:rRNA from 1 species
UACGAAGGGGGCUAGCGUUGUUCGGAUUUACUGGGCGUAAAGCGCACGUAGGCGGAUCGAUCAGUCAGGGGUGAAAUCCCAGAGCUCAACUCUGGAACUGCCUUUGAUACUGUCGAUCUGGAGUAUGGAAGAGGUGAGUGGAAUUCCGAGUGUAGAGGUGAAAUUCGUAGAUAUUCGGAGGAACACCAGUGGCGAAGGCAGGUCUCUGGGCCGCAACUGACGCUGGAGGAGCGAAAGCAUGGGGAGCGAACAGG